CUAGCUAAUCGCUAACCAGGGGAAGAUCUGUACUCAAGUAAAAGUACUGUUACACAUCCUAAAAUGCAUACUCUCAAAGAAUAUAUCAUGGCACGUCCCUGCCAUUGUCUGUGAUUACAGUGACUGAAAUGUAGAGUAUGGCAUCUGCCAGUGCUGAUAUCUGAGACUACAGUGACUGGAACAGGCAGCUUUCCCUUUGGGGCGCAUUGACUGGCACCACUCCGCCAAUACAAAUGGACUUGCGGUGGACUUCACUUCCGCGGCCUGCGGUGUAAUGCCAACCUCCCUAACACACUCUCAGACAGGUUAACAGAAUACAGAGUGAAUGGGGUGGAGAGGGAGGAUAUCAAAGGAGCCAAAACAUUCGAGACUCCUCUUUGAUGGUUUUUCCAAGCCACACUUCAGUCAAUACUCAGGAGGCCACACUGCACUGGCUGCUUAUUAGCCGCUUUCAGCUUCCAGACUUUAAUAAAACAUUAGCCGCUGCCGGAGACCCCCACAGGCCCUUAUGGGUCCCUACAGAUGGUCAGUCCCCUGGUGCUGCCCCUGGUCAAAAUGCCUGCGUCAGACACCCAACCUCUUCCAUCUUUCUUUAUACUCUGUCCUCAGAGGAUUAAGUCAGUGUCCCUCAGAACAGUAGAACAGUAGAUUUUCCAUCUCUUCACUUGAAUGGUGCAGUUCAGUUGGAGAAGCAGCUUCAAUAGCACCCGGGGCAUCAUAAGUAUACUUUGUAGUGAACUGUCUUGAAUCCUAUAUUGAUGUAUCGGAGCCUUUCCCCUUCUUCAUGUAUAGGGGAAGGUUUUAAUCAGGCUGACCUGACUUUCACAAGACAGCCGGAAAUUAGAUCUUGCACAUUGUUGGGAAAGGCUUUUGCACAAUGAAUUGCUUCUAUCUAUGAAUUGUGCUAUAUAAAUUAACUUGCUUGCUUGACGGACCUACGGUAUGACGGACCAACGGUAUGACGGAUCAACGGUAUGAUGGACCAACGGUAUGAAGGACCAACGGUAUGAAGGACCAACGGUAUGAUGGACCAACGGUAUGAAGGACCAACGGUAUGAAGGACCAACGGUAUGACGUCCCAACGGUAUGAAGGACCAACGGUAUGACGUCCCAACGGUAUGAAGGACCAACGGUAUGACGGACCAACGGUAUGACGGACCAACGGUAUGACGGAUUAACGGUAUGACGGACCAACGGUAUGACGGACCAACGGUAUGACGGACUAACGGUAUGACGGACCAACGGUAUGACG
ensembl:lncRNA